rnacentral:rRNA from 1 species
UGCGUAGGCGGCCUGGUAAGUCAGAGGUGAAAUGCACGAGCUUAACUGGUGAAUUGCCUUUGAAACUAUCAAGCUAGAAUUAUGUUGAGGUCAGCGGAAUGAGUCAUGUAGCGGUGAAAUGCAUAGAUAUGACUUAGAACACCAAUUGCGUGGGCAGCUGGCUGGGCAUAUAUUGACGCUGAGGCACGAAAGCGUGGGGAGCGAACAGGAUUAGAUACCCUGGUAGUCC